CCUACGGGUGGCUGCAGUCGAGAAUCAUUCACAAUGGGGGAAACCCUGAUGCUGCGACGCCGCGUGGGGGAAUGAAGGUUUUCGGAUUGUAAACUUCUUUUGUUAGAGAAGAUAAUGACGGUAUCUAACGAAUAAGCAUCGGCUAACUCCGUGCAAGCAGCCGGGGUACUACGGAGGGUGCACGCGUUACUCGGAAUCACUGGGCGUAAAGGGCGCGUAGGCGGGAUAGCAAGUCAGAUGUGAAAUCCUAUGGCUUAACCAUAGAACUGCAUUUGAAACUGGUAUUCUAGAGUAUGGGAGAGGUAGGUGGAAUUCUUGGUGUAGGGGUAAAAUCCGUAGAGAUCAAGAGGAAUACUGAUUGCGAAGGCAACCUGCUAGAACAUAACUGACGCUGAGGCGCGAACGCGUGGGGAGCAAACAGGAUUAGAUACCCCAGUAGUC
rnacentral:rRNA from 1 species